GACGAACGCUGGCGGCGUGCUUAACACAUGCAAGUCGAACGGAAAGGCCCUGCUUUUGUGGGGUGCUCGAGUGGCGAACGGGUGAGUAACACGUGAGUAACCUGCCCUUCACUUUGGGAUAACUUCAGGAAACUGGGGCUAAUACCGGAUAGGAGCUCCUGCUGCAUGGUGGGGGUUGGAAAGUUUCGGCGGUUGGGGAUGGACUCGCGGCUUAUCAGCUUGUUGGUGGGGUAGUGGCUUACCAAGGCUUUGACGGGUCGCCGGCCUGAGAGGGUGACCGGGCACAAUGGGACUGAGAGACGGCCCAGACUGGUACGGGAGGCAGCAGGGGGGAAUAUGGCACAAUGGGCGGAAGCCUGAUGCAGAAACGCCGCGUGCGGGAAGACGGCCUUCUGGGUAUAAACCGCUUUAGCCUGUGACGAAGCGGGAGUGACGGUAAUGGGUAAAGAAGCACCGGCUAACUACGUG
rnacentral:rRNA from 1 species